UGUAGUUUUAAAGACGUUUUCAAAGUUCACUGUAGAUAGUAGAAAAGUUAGCUACCUUGUUGAAAUAUGGAAAUGUAAUAUUUAUGUUAAUUCAAACUUUGAAAUAUGUAACUAAUGUUAAUUGGGCGAUACCUUGAGGGCGCCCUGCGGGGAGUGUCUGCCACCGCCUCAGACGGCUGAUGAAAGGAUGACAGAGGCUGCCGGGAGGAGGCGGCGCACGACUGAGACAGUGAUGGGCAGUUGGGGGAGGAUACUGCCUUUCAUAAGGAUAUCCGUCAAGCUACCGGAGUCUCCACAGGAAGAAGAGGAGUGAAGAGGAGGGUUGACGCUCGCCUUGGCCGGUCCGGGGGCCGACUGUGUUGCCUCAUGAUGAGCAGCUGCUGCCCGCCAGCCGUCACGUAGCGGAGGUCGGCCGUGGCUGGAGACUGACUGGGGGAAUGUUGCACUGAUGAACAAUACAGAGAGGAUUGUUAUCAUCUCUCUUUUUGACAGG